ACCCUCCAAAAUUUUUCAGUGAUUAUAGAAUGUAGUAAGGGUAUUUUUGCAUCGGUGAUUAAUAUGCUUGUUCGUUAUGUAAUUGGUGACUUGGCAUUAUUGCUUGUUCUUUUUUAAUUGACCAGAUACUCACGAAACUCUCACUUGUAGUGAAUCUACAACUGCCGGCACGCUGGUGGCCUAAGCUUGAGAAGAUGACUUGAAUCUAUUGGAAUAGUAGAGAAUUAAAAAGUUGCCUUAGGAAUGGCAAGUUUAUUUUCUAGUAGUUUGGGAAAUGGAUUUUAUGUUAAACCGAAUUUUGUAAUAUGAUUCUAUUGUGAUACUUGACAGUGGAUUACAUUUUGGUAUAAUGUUUUGCAUUUUCUAAAUUUGACUAAAUUCCAGCAAGCAGGGGUUGACUUCUUGUUUAUUUUCUUGCAUAUUUUAUAUUUGCCUAUGAUGCU
rnacentral:lncRNA from 1 species